rnacentral:rRNA from 1 species
CCAAGGAGUCUAACAUGUGCGCGAGUCGUCGGGUCUUGAAUAGGCCCGCAGGCGUAAUGAAAGUGAAGGGCGACCUCGGCGUCGUCUGCGUUGGGAUCCCCGGUUCCCUGGGUCUGGGGCGCACCAACGGCCCGUCCCAUCCGCCUUGUCGGUGGGACGGAGCGAGAGCGUACACGUUGGGACCCGAAAGAUGGUGAACUAUGCCUGGGCAGGACGAGGCCAGAGGAAACUCUGGUGGAGGUCCGCAGCGAUUCUGACGUGCAAAUCGAUCGUCAGACCUGGGUAUAGGGGCGAAAGACUAAUCGAACCAUC